rnacentral:rRNA from 1 species
AUGAUGAAGAUGCAUGGUCAUUGCUUAGAAAACAGUGAGACAGAUGGACCUGAAGUUGAUAUGCUUAAGGAUAUUGGAUUGCAAAUUGCUGUAAAAUGUGGUGGUUUGCCUCUUGCUGUCAAAGUAAUGGGAGGACUGUUGUGUCAGAAGGAUAAACGACGCCAUGAAUGGAGUAUGGUUCUGAAUGAUUCCAUAUGGUCAGCAUCUGAAAUGCCUGAAGAGCUAAACUAUUCAAUAUAUUUAAGCUAUGAAGAUUUACCUCCUUCCAUCAAGCAGUGCUUUCUAUACUACUCCCUUCUCCCCAAAAGUGCAGUGUGGUAUAAAAAUAGCAUUAUUGGCAUGUGGAUUAGCGAAGGAUUUCUUCACAGAAACUCUGAUGACUUAGAAGAGUUAGGAAGCAAGUACUAUAAGGAGCUGAUACUGAGGAACCUCAUAGAGCCAGUUACAAAAUGGUCUGAUCAGCAAGUUUGCAGCAUGCAUGAUGUUGUUCGCUCAUUUGCUCAAUUUGUGGCUAGAGAUGAGGCACUAGCAGCUCACAGUGGAGAUACUGGUUUCAUUAGUAAACUUAGUGCACACAAGUUCCUUCGGUUGUCUAUGGAAAAGAAAGUAUCAGAAUCAGAUGGGUUGGGCUGGAGUUCCUUACAUGCACAAAAGACACUGAGAACACUAAUAUUAGUUGGCCCUAUAUCUAUGAAGCCUAGUGAUUCGAUUGUUGAUUUUCCCUGCCUACGAACUCUACAUACAGAAUCUGUAGAUGUUGCUGUAUUGGUUGAGUCUUUGGGGAAACUCAAGCACUUGAGGUACUUGUUCAUAUGGAAAUCCGAUAUAUCAAGUUUGCCAGAUAACAUUGGAAACAUGAAAUUUCUGCAGUUCAUUUGCCUUGUAAAAUGCCAGCAAUCUGUGAAACUUCCACAUAGCAUUUUGAAGCUAGCGCAACUGAGGUAUCUUAACUUUCAUGACUCUAGUAUAAAUGGUAUACCAAAGGGGUUCAGUGUUCUAACAAAUCUAAGGAACCUGCGUGGGUUUCCAGCCCAGACAGAUGGUGUUUGGUGUAGUUUGGAUGAGUUAGGCCCUCUUUCUGAGCUCAGAUCUCUUGGAGUGCAGAGAUUGGAGAAUGUGUCCGUUACCUCGUCUGCGGCAAAGGCAAAGCUUGGUGAGAAAGUUCAUCUGACCCACUUGUUUUUAUACUGCAGCAGUAUAUUGGGAGAUGAUGGGCUGAUUAAAGAUGAAAAGGGUGUCUCUGAGGAAGAACAGCGACAAAUUGCGGGUGUGUUUGAUGAGCUCUGCCCUUCGCCUAGCUUAGAGUAUCUUGAUAUAAAUGGAUUUUUUGGCCGACGGCUCCCAAGGUGGAUGAUGUCAAGAUCAGCACCGGUCUUCAAGAGCUUGAGGAUUAUAUUCAUGCUUGAUCUAGCUUGUUGCACCCAACUACCAGAUUGCUUGUGUCAACUCCCAUGUUUGCAGGACAUUAACAUCCGUCGCGCUCCAGCCAUCAAGCGUGUUGGACCUGAAUUCCUGCAAUCCUACCAGACACCGGCUGCGUUUCCGAGAUUGAGGAGGUUGGAGUUAACUGGAAUGGUGGAAUGGGAGGAGUGGGAGUGGGAGGAGCAGGUGCAAGCCAUGCCUCUUUUGGAGGUGCUUGAGCUCAAAAGUUGCAGAUUGAGGUGUCUUCCUCCUGGCCUCGCCUCACAUGCGAGGGCUUUAAAGUCUAUAUCUGCACAAAAUAACCAGCACCUCAACUCACUAGAGAACUUUGCUUCUGCUGUUGAGCUGGAAGUGGCUGAAAGCCCCGACUUGGAGAGGAUCGCUAAUCUUCCCAAUCUGCGGAAGCUUGAGAUCGAGGCUUGCCCAAAGCUGAAUGUACUGGAGGGUAUUUGUGCACUCCAGAGGCUCGUAUUGGAGGAUUAUGCCAUGGAAACACUUCCUGAAUACAUGCGAGAUGUAAACCCAAGGCAUUUUGAGUUACGCUGCAGCCUGACGUUGCUCACUUCCAUAGCCGUGGGACAAUCUGGACCUGAGUGGGACAAGUUCAGCCGUAUCGACCAUGUCAAGGCAUAUGCACCCGAUGAGAACAAUAAAAGGAAAUGGUACGUGUUGUACACGAGGGAGCCCUGCAGCAUGGACACAAAUGUCCGCCACUCCAUAUCUGCAGUUUAUUCAGGGGAUGAAGAGGAGGACCAGCAAGUAAUUUCAUGA